UUUCAGGCGUGUAACUUGUAUCGCUUUUUAGCUCACUGGCUGUAUCCCACCCUUCCAAACUUGGCCAGAUCAAUGCUGUUAGAGAAUACAUACUUUACCUAAGAAGAAUAUCUUUCGGUAGUUUUAAGUAGAGUUUGUGGAAAAGGCGCCAAGCUCCUGGAGGUCACAAUGUGAUUUCUACAAUUUUUGAUUACCUGCAACACCGCACAAAAGAAGCAUGUUAUAUGAUUUUAGGGCUGGUCCUGCUGGCAUCAUGAAGUGCAAAUACGUUGAACUCAGGAUGGGUUUGACAUGAUUUGCAGUGAUGCGGACAAGAUUGAAACUCCAGAACAGGCACGGCUGCAUAAAGCUUCUUUGGGGAUUUUUUAUUAUUCCCAUUAAUAUUAGAAAUCUAUAUUUUUCACUUCAGUUUCUUAUGUGAUUCUUUUGGGUAACUUUUCUGUUAAAAAAAAAAAAAGAUUCUUUUGGGUAACUUCAUCAAUAGUAUGAAAUAAAUCAUGUCUUUCUUUCUCUUUUUUUUUUUUAAUGGGGAUUAAACACAGUCUUUCUUU